rnacentral:RNase_P_RNA from 1 species
CAAGAGGGCCAGGUGGUCGCCCCGAUCUGAUCGGGGAGGAAAGUCCGGACUCCCUCGGGCGAGGUGCUGGGUAACGCCCAGGCGUCGUGAGGCGACGGAAAGUGCCACAGAGAGCAGACCGCCGACGUCCCCGGUCUCGAUCGGGGGCGGGCAAGGGUGAAAGGGUGCGGUAAGAGCGCACCAGGCCCGGUGGUGACACCGGGUGCUGGCAAACCCCACCUGGAGCAAGGCCAAAUAGGGGGACAUCCGCCUCGCGCGGUAGCGGCGCCCGACCGCGUCCCCGGGUAGGCCGCACGAUCCUUCCGGCAACGGGAGGACUAGAGAGAUGACCACCGCCCCGGCUGCCGCCGGGGCACAGGAUCCGGCUUAUCGGCCCUCUUGGCCA